GCUGUGGCCCGGAUGUUCGGGCGCUGCGUUCGGACCCGCUGAUCCCCGGCUUCUCAGGGGAACCUAGUGUGGCCAAUGGGUAAGUGGUCGAUUAGGCUGCGGGCGUGUCUCUGUCCUUUUUUCCUAUUGCUUUUCCUCGCAUUGUCUUGGGCUCGCCAUCGGGCCGACAGCUCUGCUGCAGCGAGCAGCCUGGCCCUUGGCUGCGCUGAGCCCAGGCACUGACUUCUCCCGGGGUUGGGAUGGUCUGCUCCAGAAUGGCUGGAGAAGAGCGCUUGUGCAGAAUUAAAGGCUGAGUCUUUGUUGUGCUCUUCCUGUGUCCCUUCCUUCAGUCCCUUUGUUCUUGUCCAGGAAAGCAUUCCUGGUGGUUGACUUCAGAAUUAGAAGCAGAGUUAGAACAGGACAAGGAAGCAGAACCUAAUUGCCACGAGACUUGCUUUUUCAACCUCAAAUGUAAUAGUUGUUUUUCAAGACAGGGUUUGUCCUUGUAGCCUUAGUCGACCUGGAACUUGCUCUGUAGACCAGGCUAACCUCGAACGCAGAGUUCCACCUGCCUCCGCCUCCAUAGUGCUGGGUUGAAAGGCGUGCACUAUUACACUGGACAUCAAAUGUAAAUACAUUAAGCCCUUCACAAAGGGUCUUAGACUGCUGCAGAAAAAAACAAGGACAACAUUUUAGCUAUAGCUCACCAAUGGCUAUGAAAGGUUGUACAGAUUCUUCUCGUUAGGUAAAUGAGCUUUGGUUUGUUGGCCUUGGUUUUGAGAUCUUUUAGACGCAAAGCCCAUGGAGAAGGGACUUCCUUCUCAUUACAGUUCAGUUGUGUUUAAAAAAGGUGUUAAGGAUUGGCUGGAGAGAUGGCUCAGUGAUUAAGAGCACUUGCUGCUUUUCGUGGGGUUUGAUCCCCAGAACCUCCACAGCGGCUCAGGACCCUUAGUAACUGCAGUUCAGUGGCUCCUAUAUCCCUUUCUGACUUUCUCCUCUUUUGGCCUCUGCGGGAACUUGGCUGGUACAUGGUGCACAGACAUAAAUGCAGGCAAAACACAAAUACACAUGAAAACACAAUACUAUAAUAAUAAAAGUUUGUUUUUAAGAUUAUAAAAUAAAGAAGAAUUUUUUUAAAAAAAAGAUGUCAGAUACUUGGUAAAGUGAAAAUAUCAAACAUGAGACAUUUCAGACUUUUUUCUGUUUUCCCUCGGCAACAUAAGUCCCCCCAAAAAACAACAACAACAAC
rnacentral:lncRNA from 1 species